rnacentral:rRNA from 1 species
CCCUUAGAUGUUCUGGGCCACACGCGCGUUACACUGAUGAAGCCAGCGAGUAUAUCGCCUUCACCGGAAGGUGCGGGUAAUCUUGUGAAACUUCAUCGUGCUGGGGAUAGACCAUUGCAAUUAUUGGUCUUGAACGAGGAAUUCCUAGUAAGCAUGAGUCAUCAACUCGUGCUGAUUACGUCCCUGCCCUUUGUACACACCGCCCGUCGCUACUACCGAUUGAAUGGUUUAGUGAGAUCUCGGGACUGGAGACGUUGCGCCGCAAGGCACAUCGUCCUCGAGAACUUGAUCAAACUUGAUCAUUUAGAGGAAGUAAAAGUCGUAACA